rnacentral:tRNA from 1 species
ACACCUAUAGCUUAAUGGACAAAGCCUCAGUCUUCUAAACUGAUUAUAUGGGUUCGAUUCCCAUUAGGUGUA